GGUUACGAAAGAGCGUAUAGUGGAUGCCUUGGUUGAGGCGAGCGAUGAAGGACGUAGUUGGGUGCGAUAAGCUUCGGGGAGUUACCAAACAAACUGUGAUCCGGAGAUUUCCGAAUGGGGAAACCCACCCUGCACUUAUUCUAGAAGAAGACUUUCAUUAUUUUAUUAUUUCGUGAGCGAAGCGAUUUCGUCUUACGGAUGAUGAAAUGUACACAAGUCUGAUUUUGGAAUAAGUGCGGGGAACAUAUAACUGAAUACAUAGGUUAUAUGAGCAAACCCUGGGAAUUGAAACAUCUUAGUACCAGGAGGAAAAGAAAUCAAUAGAGAUUCCGUCAGUAGUGGCGAGCGAAAGCGGAUGAUGUCUAAA
rnacentral:rRNA from 1 species